GGCAGGAUAGUUGUAGUAGAAAGAACGCCAGAUCUGGAGUUAAGAGGAUCUGGGUUCAAAUCCCAGUCUGGCUA
rnacentral:tRNA from 1 species